rnacentral:ncRNA from 2 species
AGAGUUAAACAGUACGUGAAAUUGUUGAAAGGGAAACGAUUGAAGCCAGUCGUACCUUCGGGUAAUCAGCCUUUCGGGUGCGAUUCUGUGGAGUUUGAGGAGCUUAACACCUUCAUGCUUUGCAUAUUCGUGCUCUUGGGUGUACUUGCCCGUGUGGUUGGUUAACAUCAAUUUCGGGCACCAUAAAAUGGCUGGAGGAAUGUAGCUUCGAUCUUGUAUUGAAGUGUUAUAACCUUCGGUAGAUGUGGUGAUCGAGAUUGAGGAUUGCAACGGAUACCUUUCGGGGCUACCUGUCUGAUCUCUGAUCGUUGCUUUGGUGCUGAAAGCGUGCUUAUAGUUAUCAAAGUCGAUGGUUAAUAGGUUAGAAUGGGUUAAAUUCGUUAAGGAUGUUGACGUAAUGGCUUUAAACGACC